AGUUUGAUCAUGGCUCAGAUUGAACGCUGGCGGGAUGCUUGCCACAUGCAAGUCGAACGGCAGCACGGACUUCGGUCUGGUGGCGAGUGGCGAACGGGUGAGUAAUGUAUCGGAACGUGCCUAGUAGCGGGGGAUAACUACGCGAAAGCGUAGCUAAUACCGCAUACGCCCUCCGGGGGAAAGCGGGACCUCGGGCCUCGCACUAUUAGAGCGGCCGAUAUCGGAUUAGCUGGUGGGGUAACGGCUCACCAAGGCGACGAUCCGUAGCUGGUUUGAGAGGACGACCAGCCACACCUGGGACUGUAUAUACGGCCCAGACUCCUACGGGAGGCAGCAGUGGGGAAUUUUGGACAAUGGUGAAACUUGAUCCAGCCAUCCCGCGUGUGCGAUAGCUCCUGGGUUGUAAAGCACUUUUGCGGAAGAAACGGCACGGAUAAACACCCGUGCAACUGACGGUACCUUGCAGAAUAAGCACCGGCUAACUACGUGCAAGCAGCCGCGGUAAUACGUAGGGGUGCAAGCGUUAAUCGGAAUUACUGCGUAAAGCGUGCGCAGGCGGUUCGGAAGGAAAGAUGAAAUCCUGGCGAGCUUAACUUUUGGAACCGGUAUUUUUAACUACCGAGCUAGAGUGUGUCAGAGGGAGGUGGACUCCGCGUGUAGCGGUGAAAUGCGUAUAUGCGGAGGAACACCGAUGGCGAAGGCAGCCUCCUGGGAUACCGGACGCCGGCACGAAAGCGUGGGAGCAAACAGGAUUAGAUACCUUGGUAGUCCACGCCCUAAACGAUGUCAACUAGCUGUUGGGGCCUUCGGGCCUUGGUAGCGUGCGCCAACGCGUGAAGUUGACCGCCUGGGGAGUACGGUCGCAAGAUUAAAACUCAAAGGGUCUGACGGGGACCCGCACAAGCGGUGGAUGAUGUGGAUUAAUUCGAUGCAACGCGAAAACCUUACCUACCCUUGACAUGUCUCAACCUGGAAGAGAUUUGGGAGUUCUUGCAAGAGAACCGAACACAGGUGCUGCAUGGCUGUCGUCGUGCUCGUGUCGAGAUGUUGGGUUAAGUCCCGCAACGCGAGCGCAACCUUGUCAUUAGUUGCUACGAAAGGGCACUUUAAUGAGACUGCCAGACAAACCGGAGGAAGGUGGGGAUGACGUCAAGUUCCCCAAGUGGCCCUUACGG
rnacentral:misc_RNA from 1 species